GAUGAACGCUGGCGGCGUGCCUAAUACAUGCAAGUCGAGCGAAUGGAUUAAGAGCUUGCUCUUAUGAAGUUAGCGGCGGACGGGUGAGUAACACGUGGGUAACCUGCCCAUAAGACUGGGAUAACUCCGGGAAACCGGGGCUAAUACCGGAUAACAUUUUGAACCGCAUGGUUCGAAAUUGAAAGGCGGCUUCGGCUGUCACUUAUGGAUGGACCCGCGUCGCAUUAGCUAGUUGGUGAGGUAACGGCUCACCAAGGCAACGAUGCGUAGCCGAGCUGAGAGGGUGAUCGGCCACAAUGGGACUGAGACACGGCCCAGACUCCUGCGGGAGGCAGCAGUAGGGAAUCUUCCGCAAUGGACGAAAGUCUGACGGAGCAACGCCGCGUGAGUGAUGAAGGCUUUCGGGUCGUAAAACUCUGUUGUUAGGGAAGAACAAGUGCUGGUUGAAUAAGCUGGCACCUUGACGGUACCUAACCAGAAAGCCACGGCUAACUACGUGCCAGCCGCCGCCGUAA
rnacentral:rRNA from 1 species